rnacentral:rRNA from 1 species
UGGCGCACGGGUGAGUAACACGUGAGUAACCUGCCCCCGAGAGCGGGAUAGCCCUGGGAAACUGGGAUUAAUACCGCAUAGUAUCGAAAGAUUAAAGCAGCAAUGCGCUUGGGGAUGGGCUCGCGGCCUAUUAGUUAGUUGGUGAGGUAACGGCUCACCAAGGCGAUGACGGGUAGCCGGUCUGAGAGGAUGUCCGGCCACACUGGAACUGAGACACGGUCCAGACACCUACGGGUGGCAGCAGUCGAGAAUCAUUCACAAUGGGGGAAACCCUGAUGGUGCGACGCCGCGUGGGGGAAUGAAGGUCUUCGGAUUGUAAACCCCUGUCAUGUGGGAGCAAAUUAAAAAGAUAGUACCACAAGAGGAAGAGACGGCUAACUCUGUGCCANGCAGCCGCGGGCAUNCAGAGGUCUCAAGCGUUGNUCGGAAUCACUGGGCGUAAAGCGUGCGUAGGCUGUUUCGUAAGUCGUGUGUGAAAGGCGCGGGCUCAACCCGCGGACGGCACAUGAUACUGCGAGACUAGAGUAAUGGAGGGGGAACCGGAAUUCUCGGUGUAGCAGUGAAAUGCGUAGAUAUCGAGAGGAACACUCGUGGCGAAGGCGGGUUCCUGGACAUUAACUGACGCUGAGGCACGAAGGCCAGGGGAGCGAAAGGGAUUAGAUACCCCUGUAGUCCUGGCAGUAAAC